rnacentral:rRNA from 1 species
GACGUAGGGCGCGAGCGUUGUCCGGAUUUAUUGGGCGUAAAGAGCUCGUAGGCGGCUUGUCGCGUCGUCCGUGAAAACCCACAGCUCAACUGUGGGCUUGCGGUCGAUACGGGCAGGCUAGAGUUCGGUAGGGGAGACUGGAAUUCCUGGUGUAGCGGUGAAAUGCGCAGAUAUCAGGAGGAACACCGGUGGCGAAGGCGGGUCUCUGGGCCGAUACUGACGCUGAGGAGCGAAAGCCAGGGGAGCAAACGGG